CGAGCACGCGCGUGUGGCAUAUCAAUAAGCGGAGGAAAAGAAACUAACAAGGAUUCCCCUAGUAACGGCGAGUGAAGCGGGAAGAGCUCAAAUUUGAAAUCUUAAAGGGUUUCCCUUUACGAAUUGUAGUUUAAAGAAGUGUUUUCUGUUAAGGUUUUGGUAAUAGUUCUUUGGAAUAGGACAUCAUAGAGGGUGAGAAUCCCGUAUUUGACCAUUACUUUCAACUUUGUGAUACACUUUCAAAGAGUCGGAUUGUUUGGGAAUGCAGUCCAAAAUGGGUGGUAAAUUUCAUCUAAAGCUAAAUAUUGGCGAGAGACCGAUAGCGAACAAGUACCGUGAGGGAAAGAUGAAAAGAACUUUGAAAAGAGAGUUAAACAGUACGUGAAAUUGUCAAAAGGGAAGCGUUUCGACACCAGUGUUGUUUUUCUCGAAAAUCAAUUAAAGAAUGCUCGAUUUAUGUAAUUGCUUGUAGACCUUAUAAGCUCAUCUGUACAGUUUUCGAUGUCUUUUUUAAUGCACUUUUCAGUUAACAAGUCAACAUCAAUUUCUUUUGUUGUAAAAAGGUCGAUUGGAAGGUGGCUUGCGAUUUCGUAUAAGUGUUUAUAGCCUUUGCCUCUGCAGUCGGAGAGAUUGAGGUCUGCAGCGUAGAUCCUUCGGGGCUAAAUGCAUUUGUGCUAAGUUAUAGCAUUUUAUAGACAACUUGUUGACUAUGAUUUGUCUUGUAGCUUACUCGCUUAUGUUAUUUUACCUACGCUUAGGAUGUUGAAGAUGUAGCACAUCAU
rnacentral:rRNA from 1 species